rnacentral:rRNA from 1 species
UACGAGGGGGGCAAGCGUUGCUCGGAAUUAUUGGGCGUAAAGGGCGCGUAGGCGGUUUGUCAAGUCUGAUGUGAAAUCUCUGGGCUCAACCCAGAGUCUGCAUUAGAAACUGUCGGGCUUGAGUAUGGGAGAGGUGAGUGGAAUUUCCGGUGUAGCGGUGAAAUGCGUAGAUAUCGGAAGGAACACCUGUGGCGAAAGCGGCUCACUGGACCAUAACUGACGCUGAGGCGCGAAAGCUAGGGGAGCAAACAGG